rfam:Schistosoma rodhaini strain Burundi genome assembly, scaffold: SROB_scaffold0001973
AUCCGGCUGACGAGCCCCAAAUAGGACGAAAUGCGCGUCUUGGAU